UACGUAGGGUGCGAGCGUUGUCCGGAAUUAUUGGGCGUAAAGAGCUCGUAGGCGGUCUGUCGCGUCGAUCGUGAAAACUUGGGGCUUAACCCUGAGCUUGCGGUCGAUACGGGCAUGACUGGAGUUCGGCAGGGGGAGACUGGAAUUCCUAGUGUAGCGGUGAAAUGCGCAGAUAUCAGGAGGAACACCGGUGGCGAAGGCGGGUCUCUGGGCCGAUACUGACGUGGAGGAGCGAAAGCGUGGGGAGCGAACAGG
rnacentral:rRNA from 1 species